CUGAGUGCAUGAUGAUGUAAAGUUAUCCCUGUCUGAAGGGCAAGAGGCCUUUCUGUGUGGAGCGUGGAUAUCUGAAACUCGG
ensembl:snoRNA